rnacentral:rRNA from 1 species
UACGGAGGAUGCAAGCGUUAUCCGGAAUGAUUGGGCGUAAAGCGUCCGCAGGUGGCUAUGUAAGUCUGCUGUUAAAGAGUGAGGCUCAACCUCAUAAGAGCAGUGGAAACUACAUAGCUAGAGUGCGUUCGGGGCAGAGGGAAUUCCUGGUGUAGCGGUGAAAUGCGUAGAUAUCAGGAAGAACACCGGUGGCGAAAGCGCUCUGCUAGGCCGCAACUGACACUGAGGGACGAAAGCGUGGGUAGCAAACAGG